GACGAACCGUGCGAACGUUAUUCGGAAUCACUGGGCUUAAAGGGCGCGUAGGCGGGCUCGCCAGUCAGGGGUGAAAGCCCACGGCUCAACCGUGGAAGUGCCUUUGAUACUGCGAGUCUCGAGCGAGGUAGGGGCGUGCGGAACUUCCGGUGGAGCGGUGAAAUGCGUAGAUAUCGGAAGGAACACCGGUGGCGAAAGCGGCGCGCUGGACCUCUUCUGACGCUGAGGCGCGAAAGCCAGGGGAG
rnacentral:rRNA from 1 species